GUCUGUUUGAUAUUGGCUUCAACAGAUCACAUAUAUCUGUAUGGACCAACUCCAGUGGCUUCUUUGCUCUCCAACUUGUCUCCCUCACAAAAUCUGUUCUUGCAUGCUUCCCAAGAACAUAGAUUUCACAAACUUCAUUCGGAUGAUCAAUAUUCAGUAACCACUUCAAAAUCUUUUUCUUUAACAAUAAUCUUAAUCCUUCAAAAUUUAAAUGUCCAAGUCUCAAGUGCCACAACCAACUCUUGUCAUUUAUAAUGGCACUUAAACAUUUUGGUGAGUCAUAAGGAAUGUUUAAAGCAAACAUUCUGUUUUUAGACAUUCAUACUUGGGAUAUUGGAUAUCCACGAUCAUCUUUUAUUAUCAAGCGAGAGUCUUUUAAACUAAUGUCAUAUCUCUUUUCUAAAAGCUGUCCUAGACUUAAUAAAUUAUGCUUGAUAUCCAGCACAUAAUAAACAUCAGUAAUAUAACUGUGACCACCAUUAUUGAGCUUGAUUAAGAUGUUAAAUCUUCCUUUUACUGGAACUUCGAAGAGGUCGCCAAAAGAGACAUGACCAUGCGGAGUUUCAUCAAGCUCCAUGAACAUAUGCUUUUUCCCCACACAUAUGAUUGCUUGCUCCUGUAUCUAAAAAUCAUAUAUUUUCAUUAUUUGUUGUUGUAUGAUGAACCAUCAAUAUCAGUGAUUUUGGCUCACUUGCAUCACCAAAGUUGGUAUCUUUACCAACUUCUACUUUAGCAAUUUUUGCGUGACAUUCGUUGCUAUAAUAGCCAUACUUAUGACAGUUAUAACGCUGCACGUUUCUUUUGUCACCAAUUUGACGAUGAAAACCAUUUUUGUGUCUUUCUUGUCCUCUAUUUUGUCCUCUACCUCGACCUCUAUAUUGUCUUCUUCCUCUCUGAUAAAAUUGUUGGUGAAUUUCAUGUCCACUGUUGAUGUUAAAUCUUCCUCCUCUUCCUCUAUUAUUAAAAAAUCGUCCUCUUUGAAAUCGGUCCCUUCCUCAACUUGGUCGUGAAUUUCCUUCAUCUUCUUUAUUUUCUUGAAGAGAAAGUCUUGAUUGCAAUGCUUGAUCAAGGGAUUUUGAUCAAGUUUUUUUAUUGAUUUGUUGUUCAUGGAUCUCUAGAGUAGCCAAUAGUUCAUCAAUAGUCAUAGUACUGAGGGCUUUGGAUUCCUUAAUUGCUAUGACUACAUUAUCAAACUUCGAAUUUAGAGAACGAAGGAUUUUUUUCUAUUACUUGCAAAUCUUCGAUCUUUUCUCCACUGCGCUUGAUAUUAUUCACUAUAGUGAGGACUCGAGUAAAAUACUUCGAGAUUGACUCACUAUCAAGCAUCUCCAAUGUUUCAAAUUCGUUUUUCAGCAUUUGUAGGCGAAUUCUCAUUGUCUUCUCGAUACCUCGAAAUGAAUUUCGAAAUGCAUCCCAUGCUUCUCUUGCGUUUGUAAUAUAAGCAAUCUUCUCAAAAUUUCCUUCAUCUACUGUAUGAUAUAUGAGAUAUAGGGCCUUCUGAUCUUUCUUCCUUGCUUCCUUAAGUGCUGCAUUUUCAGUUGCACUUAAUACGUCUUCAUCGACUUUAGACGUAGGUUUUGUAAAACCUUUCUCCACCAUUUUCCAUAGGUCUUAGGAUGCUAAGAGCACCUUCAUUUGUAUGCUCCAAUUCUCAUAAUUCUCCUUUGUCAGCCUUGGUAGCUGUGGCUGGAAUAAACUAGAUGAGAAAGCCAUGUCGAAUUGGAAACAAAGAUUAUAUCACUCUCUUUUAUUUUUUCUUGGCUCUAGUACCACUGAUUGGUAGAAGUUGUGAUAGAAUAUCACUUUUCACUCAAAUAAAUAAACUUUGAUAAAUCUCACAAUAUAUAUUUCAUACAAUAGAGCUAUUUUCUCUCAACAACUCUCUUAUACAAACCUUACAAUUUCUC
rnacentral:lncRNA from 1 species